rnacentral:rRNA from 1 species
UACAGAGGUCCCAAGCGUUGUUCGGAUUCACUGGGCGUAAAGGGUGCGUAGGUGGCCAGGUAAGUUUGGUGUGAAAGCUCGGAGCUUAACUCCGAAAAGUCAUUGAAUACUAUCUGGCUGGAGGGUCGGAGGGGAGACUGGAAUUCUCGGUGUAGCAGUGAAAUGCGUAGAUAUCGAGAGGAACACCAGUGGCGAAGGCGAGUCUCUGGACAGUUCCUGACGCUGAGGCACGAAGGUCAGGGGAGCAAACGGG